rnacentral:rRNA from 1 species
UACAGAGGGUGCGAGCGUUAAUCGGAAUUACUGGGCGUAAAGCGUGCGUAGACGGUUAUCUAAGUCGGAUGUGAAAGCCCCGGGCUCAACCUGGGAAUUGCAUUCGAGACUGAAUAGCUAGGGUACGGUAGAGGGAAGUGGAAUUUCCGGUGUAGCGGUGAAAUGCGUAGAUAUCGGAAGGAACAUCAGUGGCGAAAGCGGCGAUCUGGGUCGAUACUGACGCUGAGGUGCGAAAGCGUGGGGAGCAAACAGG